rnacentral:rRNA from 1 species
UGUGUGUAGGCGGGCUUGUAAGUCAGUGGUGAAAUACUGCCGCUUAACGGUAGGGUUGCCAUUGAUACUGCAUUUCUUGAGUUUGGAUGAGGUAGGCGGAAUGUGUGGUGUAGCGGUGAAAUGCAUAGAUAUCACACAGAACACCGAUUGCGAAGGCAGCUUACUAAUCCAUGACUGACGCUGAGGCACGAAAGCGUGGGGAGCGAACAGGAUUAGAUACCCUGGUAGUCC